UACGUAGGGGGCAAGCGUUGUUCGGAAUUACUGGGCGUAAAGGGCGCGUAGGCGGCACGGCAAGUCAGGAGUGAAAGGCCUGGGCUCAACCGAGGAACUGCUUUUGAGACUGCCGAGCUAGAGUGCAGAAGGGGCAACUGGAAUUCCCAGUGUAGCGGUGAAAUGCGUAGAUAUUACACAGAACACCGAUAGCGAAGGCAGCUUACUAAGCUAAUAUUGACGCUCAUGCACGAAAGCGUGGGGAGCGAACAGG
rnacentral:rRNA from 1 species